UACAGAGGGUGCGAGCGUUAAUCGGAAUUACUGGGCGUAAAGGGUGCGUAGGCGGUUGUGUAUGUGUUGUGUGAAAGCCCCGGGCUUAACCUGGGAAGAGCAUAGCAAACGGCACGACUAGAAUAUAGGAGAGGGUGGCGGAAUUUCCGGUGUAGCGGUGAAAUGCGUAGAGAUCGGAAGGAACGUCAGUGGCGAAGGCGGCCACCUGGACUAAUAUUGACGCUGAGGCACGAAAGCGUGGGUAGCGAACAGG
rnacentral:rRNA from 1 species